UUGGAGAGGCAGCCUCCAGUGCAAGUGGUACAGAUGUCAGUGAAGCUUUCAUCUCGGUCGAGUGAAGACGUACCCCAAAGGGAUAUCUCGAGUGCGAAAUCCACCCAAAAGUUUUCUCUGCGUGAAAACUUUGUAUGUGGCUUCUUCAUCAAUUUCGCCCUUUUCUGUGCCAUUCUUGUGAUUUUUUAAAUAGGCGCGCAAAAAGAGGAAAGCUCCCAUUAUUAUGUGUGUGCGUGAUUCGUAUAAAUGAACUUUCAAAGUGGCUAAAAAGCAAAUUUAUUUUCUCUUCUGCAAAAAAACACAGCGUUGUCUAACACUUUGUGUGCCAUCUUCCCUCAAAUGGCAAGAGAUAUGCCGUGAAUGGUUGCGUGGGAAAGUGGAUGGAGUGUCAUAGACAAACAGAGGCAAAGUGAAAAUUUGAUUAUUUAGUGACGCGUGAGUGGUGCAAAAGUUUUGAAAAAUUGCUGUGUGAUUUUAAUUAAUUUUUUUCAUGACACUUUGUUCAUCUUUUACUUUACGGUACUAACAAAAAGUUCACGUAAAAGUGAUAGGAAAAUUUGCAAAAGACCUAAAACAGAACACAUUGUCCAAAAGGAUUCUUCUUGGACACUUUUCUAUAUUUUCUUUCUCCAAAGAAAAUAAUUAUUGUAAUUGUUUUGUGGGAUUAUAGAAAACUCCAGAUAAACAUGGAAAAGUUCUGCUACAUCAUCACCUGGACCGUACUGUUUGUCUGUGUUAUUUAUGUUAAUUCAGCUAUACCGCAGCAGCAGUUGGAUGGUAAAAUCAAAGAAAACAAUUGCACAUCAGAUAAAUUCCGGUGCAAAAACGGACGGUGUAUACCAAAGCAUUGGAAGUGUGACCAAGAAAAAGACUGCAGCGAUGGAUCCGACGAAGAUCCAGAUGUGUGCCAGGUGCAUGUUUGCUCGGCGGAUGAAUUCACAUGCAAGAAUUCCACAACAGAUUGCAUACCAUUGUCAUGGAUGUGCGAUCUAAAUCAAGAUUGCUUCGAUGGAUCAGAUGAGGCGGGAUGCAAUGUGACCUGCCGUUCGGAUGAGUUCACAUGUGGUAAUGGAAGGUGCAUCCAGGAGAGGUGGCGGUGUGAUCGGGACGAUGACUGUGGCAACAAUGCUGAUGAGAGAAAUUGUCCCAAUGUGACGUGCCAGGCUGACAAAGAGUUCACCUGCUCUGACAACCUCUGCAUCACAGCCAAGUGGAGGUGUGAUGGUGAGAGUGACUGCCCCGAUGGUUCUGAUGAGAGGAACUGCGAGAAUGUCGUCCGCGUGGUGUCACCAUGCACGUCGGCUGAGUUUCAGUGCAGUGAUCGCAUUACGUGUAUCCACCGGAGCUGGGUUUGCGAUGGAGAAAGAGACUGUCCGGGUGGGGAUGAUGAGAAGGCCCCCACAUGCCUCAAUGUGACAUGCAGGGCGGAUCAGUUCCAAUGCAAAGACCGCUCAUGCAUUCCCGGUGCACUGGAAUGUUCCGGGAAGGCUGAAUGCGCCGAUGGGAGCGAUGAAGUCAAUUGCACAUCAACAACGCCCGUUGAUAAAAAAUGCGACCCAAGGAAGGAGUUUGACUGCGGCGGCGGUAUUUGUAUCCCGUUGUCGAAAGUAUGUGACAAGAAGCCCGAUUGCCCAGAGUUCCAGGAUGAGCCCGCUGAUAAAUGCGGUAGGAAUGAAUGUCUAAUCAAUAAUGGGGGCUGUACGCAACUGUGCGUCGAUACACCAGCUGGGUACUUUUGUGACUGUCGCAAAGGAUAUCGAUUAGUGGACAACAGGACUUGUGAGGAUAUCAAUGAGUGCGAGAAUCUUGGUGCGUGCUCACAAAAUUGCUACAACGAGAGGGGUGGCUUCAAAUGUGAAUGCGUUGAGGGAUACAUGAGGGAUCCAAGGGAUCACACACGGUGUAAGGCGACGGAAGGACAUGCCUCACUUCUAUUUGCACGCAGAAAGGACAUCCGGAAGAUUUCACUGGAUCACCGGGAGAUGACCUCCAUUGUGAACGACACCAAGUCUGCUACGGCACUCGAUUAUGUUUUCCGGACAGGCAUGAUUUUCUGGAGUGAUGUGGCCGAACAGAAGAUUUAUAAAGCACCAAUUGAUGAAGGGAGCGACAAGACGGUUGUAGUGCGUGACCAAGUUGUGACCUCAGACGGUCUAGCUGUGGAUUGGAUCUACAAUCACAUCUACUUCACCGAUACCCACAAAUGCACCAUUGAAUUGACCAAUUUUGACGGAAACAUGGGAAAAGUGUUGAUUAAGGAUGACAUGGAAAUUCCGCGCUCCAUUGCUUUGGAUCCACUCAAUGGGUGGAUGUACUGGACGGACUGGGGCUCAUCUCCGAGAAUUGAGCGCGCUGGAAUGGAUGGCACGCACCGAAUGCCCAUUGUGACGUACGACGUGAAGUGGCCAAAUGGAAUAACGUUGGAUUUGGUGCGAAAGCGCGUAUACUGGGUGGACGCAAAACUCAAUGAGAUCUCAUCGUGUAAUUUUGACGGCACAGACCGCAAUGUUGUCCUCUAUUCGGCCGACGUGCUGCGCCAUCCAUUCUCAAUAACGACCUUCGAAGACCAUGUAUACUGGACCGAUUGGGACAAGGAAGCCGUCUUCAAGGCAAAUAAAUUCAACGGCAGAGAUGUUGAACCCAUUACAGCGCUCCACAUGUUGCAACACCCAAUGACCAUCCACGUAUACCAUCCAUAUAGGCAGCCCGACGGUGUCAAUUACUGCCAAGCAGUUAAUGGGCACUGCUCACAUCUCUGCCUACCCGCACCAAAGAUUAAUGAACGCAGUGCUCGCAUCUCCUGCGCCUGUCCUACUGGGCUCAAACUUAUGGACGAUGGCCUCAUGUGCGUGGAAGAUGCAAACACACGUCCCAAUGGUAAUAGUUCACAACCAAAUGGACCUUCUGUGCAGCGUGAAGAGGCAAAUUCGGGAUUUAUUGAGAUUAUUAUCAUUGUUGUGUCCCUUCUUCUGUGCUUUAUCAUCAUGAUAAGUUUGUUCUGCUGCUACCGUCACUACCAGGCUAGGAAUUUAACAUCGAUGAACUUCGAUAAUCCAGUGUAUCGUAAAACUACAGAGGAUACGUUCCAGAUUGAGAAGCACGGGAUGCAUGGCCAUCGGAUUGGCGAUGAGGUGAGAGCCCUAUCACGAGAGUGUGCCGUCAGUGUAAGAUAAAUGAUUACAAUUUGCAACAGCAAGGCAUUUAGAUAGGCAGUGGGGUGGGGGUGGGAUGUAGUCAAGACGAUCGUUCCAUUAUUUGUGUUUGUUGGAGAAAGAUAAGGAUGUGGAGGUUGGAGGUUCGUCUGGUUUUACUAAACAUUAUACAUACCAAACAUACAUACAUAUAUGUAUGACUAGGAGGAGAUAUCACAGGAAGGACAUACUCAAAAAAUAUGGAUAGAUUUUUUCUUGCCAAAAACAUCCACCUCAAACCACUUUUUUGUUGCUGGUGAGGGUAAUCGCAUUUUUUAUACAACAUCCCAUGUCUUUUUCUGGGCUGACGAAUAUAAUGUAUGAAAAUGGAAUUUCAAUGAACAUUCUGCGGGAGAGUGAUACAAAAUUUUCCACCAAGUGACACACGAGAGGCUGCGGAGAGUAUAUACAUAUAUAUGUGUAUAUAUGUAUGUUGCAGAUGAAUGUAGGAGAAGAAGAAAAAAAAGCUCACACAGAACCACCUCCUUAUCGUUAUUUGAUGAUAUCCCAUUUUUCACAGUAGCAUCCAUAUUCUCCAUGUAAGAUGAGCUGAAUUUCGAAACAAUAUUCACGGAGCCAAACAAAAUGAAAAUUCACUCAACACAUAUAAGAACUUUAUAGUUUCCCCAGCAAGUUCCCCGCAUCAUCAUUUCUCUCACUCUUGUACCAUGCCAAAAAGCUCAUACAACAGAGUUUUUGCACAUAUACAUGACUUGCGAGCAACCACCAUGGUGCAUUUGGGAAAUAAAAUGAGAAAUGUUUUCAGCACAAAUUAACAUCUUAAUGCGCAAUUUUAUUAACAAACCCCAUAAAAGUUAUUUUAAUGAGAAAUAAUUAUAAGUAUAUCAGCAUGUAAGGGUGUACCUGCAGAAUAUUUACCGUCCCUCGCAAAAAUUCCAACCUCCCUAAAAAAAUGUUUUUUUUUGAUGGGUUAAAUUUAUAUUUAAUAAAAAAAAGUGGCACAAAAAAUGCAUUUUUUCAAAUAUUUUUCGUGAAAACGAGGGAAAGGAUAAAAAGGUUUAAAUGAAUAUUUACCCGAAUAAAAAGGUGGAAAAAAUUAUUCGUGCAAAAGAAAAUGACACGAGUAAAAAAACUCCCACAUGGCAAACAAUAUCAUUGCUUUUGUACAAAAUGUGUACAAAAAAAACCAUUAAAUUUAUUAUAAAUUUUUCUAUUGAAAUAAGCCUUUAUAAUAUUCGGCCAUAAAAUAUGAAUUCAUAGAAAAACAAUUUUAAUGUAGAAAUUUUAAUUAGUUAUAAAAAAACACUCGUUAAGUAGAUUUUUUAUAUUCACCAAUCUCUGUGUGCAUGCUAUUAUAUUAAAUCGCCUUCAAUUAAUUGAUUUUUAAUUGAUAGACAGAUACCUACUCAAAAAUUAUUGUCCGGGAUUUUUGAUCACAGUCCAUGCUUGCUUCCAACCCAUCAAAAUCGGAUCAAACACGUGAAUUUUUAAUUAAAUUAAUGGAAUUUGGGGCUUUAUGCGGGGGUAGGGCGGGGGAAAAUGGGUAUUAAAAUAUCUGUGGUUGAAGAAUAGGCUUAUUGUACAAUGUACACAUACAUGUGAAGUACAAAAAAAUGGAGCUUUACAUGCUUCAGUAAUUAGAGGCCUAUUUGCCAUACAAUUUUGCAAUCAAUUUCCCACAAUUCUGUUUUUUAUUUUAUUAAAAAGUGUCCAAUUAAUGAAAAAAAUGGAUAAAGGGAUGAUUUGUUGCAAAAUAUUCGUGAAUGUUCUAGGAUGGAUUUUAAUGUUAAAAUUAUUAUUAUUAUAAAAGCUCAUUGUGCCAAUUAUUGCUCAAAUAAGGUACCUAUACCUACCUAGGUAGUAUUCUAUGUAUGUUGAAAAAAAAGCUCUUGCAACCUCUCGAGGUGGUCACAAAGUUGGAAAACGUUCUGGGAUUCAUGUUUUUUUUUUAUUUGGGUAUGAAAAUUAUGUUGUACGUGUUCAGCAAACAGUUUUUUUGUGCCAAAAAAAUCUACCAAAACUACACAAAACUUGCUGUGUUAUAUUGACAGAGUGUGUAGGGUUGAGGGAGUUUCGGGGAAAAAAAAGCUCAAAACUUUCAACUUUUUACCUCUCAUUUUAAUGCUUGCAAACACAUGGGAGUGAAAUUUAUUGCGUAGAGGGAAUUUCCCGGAGAAUGUGUGCUCAAUAAAUAAAAAAAGAAGGGUAAGUUUGAGUGUUGUGUGUGUAUGUGUUGUAUAUGGAGAAAUGGAAAAUUUUCGGGUAAAACGGAGGAAAGUAAACAUUUUUAGAUUGCAAUUGUGGAAUGAAAAUAAAAUGAAUUUCCUCGCAUUUUUAUUUUUAUUUCAAUCAUUUUUCCACAUAUACCUAUAUUACGGAAUUUUAUUACUUUUGCUCUAUUUUGCAAAAUUAUACUUUUACAGUAUUGAAGGAAUUGAAUUGAAGUUCUUUUAUAGAUAGAUGAUUACUACCUAUGCAUAAAUGUCUUAUUCUUAAGAGCCCAAGAGGCUUUUUUUUUAUAAAUCGCUUUAGAACCUAAUUUUACUAUAAUUUCGUGAAAAUGCUUUGUCGUCAAAGGGUUAAAAAGUAGAUAUAUCACAAGUAAAGAAAGAAUUGAAAUUUUUAAUCAUGUUUACUAUAUAGGUAUAAUAAGGAUUAAUUAUUUCCCUUUAACCAUAAAACUUACUCACUUUACCACGUUAGUUUCCAUAUUAAAGUUCUCUCUUAUCGUGAAUGAGAUUUUUGUGCAGACGAAUCAUUAUAUUCAGUGGAGAAUUUUAAUGAUUAUGUGAGAAGUUCAUUUUAAAUAUUUCUUCUUUUGCUUCAGCAGUGGAAUUGAGUAUAUACAUAUAGUUAUGGUGUAGAAUAAAUGAAUAUUUUCAAAGUUAAAUCACUAAAACUUUAAUGAAAACUUUUCACCAAAAAAUCACUCUCACAGUUUUCGGGGAUGUCGUUACAAAAUGAUAAAAGAUAAGAGCUUUGAAGUCAAAAAAGCUCGCAUAUACAUAUGUUACUGUAUGAAUAAAAUGUAUGAUGAAAAAUGUUAGAUGCGGGUGUGCUUUUGUGCGAAUCCUCAAGAUCUGACUGCAGAGAUGAAUUUAAAUAAAAUGCCAACCGUUUUGUUUUUUUUCUUGCAGGCUCAAGAACCACUGAAUAAACCAGGAACAAAUGACUUUGUGUAAGGGGAGAAAGC